rnacentral:misc_RNA from 1 species
GAAAUGCGAUAAGUAAUGUGAAUUGCAGAACUCAGUGAAUCAUCGAAUCUUUGAACGCACCUUGCGCUCCUUGGUAUUCCUUGGAGCAUGCCUGUUUGAGUAUCAUGAAAUCUUCAAAGUAAAUCUUUUGUUAACUCAAUUGGUUUCUACUUUGGUAUUGGAGGUCUUUGCAGCUUCACACCUGCUCCUCUUUGUUCAUUAGCUGGAUCUCAGUGUUAUGCUUGGUUCCACUCGGCGUGAUAAGUUAUCUAUCGCUGAGGACACUGUAAAAGGUGGCCAAGGUAAAUGCAGAUGAACCGCUUCUAAUAGUCCAUUGACUUGGACAAUACUUUUAUGAUCUGAUCUCAAAUCAGGUAGGACUACCCGCUGAACUUAAGC